rnacentral:rRNA from 1 species
UAGACCGCCUGGGGAGUACGGCCGCAAGGUUAAAACUCAAAUGAAUUGACGGGGGCCCGCACAAGCGGUGGAGCAUGUGGUUUAAUUCGAUGCAACGCGAAGAACCUUACCUGGUCUUGACAUCCACAGAACUUGGCAGAGAUGCCUUGGUGCCUUCGGGAACUGUGAGACAGGUGCUGCAUGGCUGUCGUCAGCUCGUGUUGUGAAAUGUUGGGUUAAGUCCCGCAACGAGCGCAACCCUUAUCCUUUGUUGCCAGCGGUCCGGCCGGGAACUCAAAGGAGACUGCCAGUGAUAAACUGGAGGAAGGUGGGGAUGACGUCAAGUCAUCAUGGCCCUUACGACCAGGGCUACACACGUGCUACAAUGGCAUAUACAAAGAGAAGCGACCUCGCGAGAGCAAGCGGACCUCAUAAAGUAUGUCGUAGUCCGGAUUGGAGUCUGCAACUCGACUCCAUGAAGUCGGAAUCGCUAGUAAUCGUGGAUCAGAAUGCCACGGUGAAUACGUUCCCGGGCCUUGUACACACCGCCCGUCACACCAUGGGAGUGGGUUGCAAAAGAAGUAGGUAGCUUAACCUUCGGGAGGGCGCUUACCACUUUGUGAUUCAUGGCUGGGGUGAAGUCGUAACAAGGUAAGUAUU